CUCAGAUCAAGCCGGAGUUGCAGAUGAUGAGAGAAGACCAUGGAGCUUGGAAGCGUGCGCACAACCACUCUGUUUACGCUCAAUGCUUCUUCAUUCUUGCCUGGUCACGUUUGGGAUAGCAUAGGUCAUAAGUGUGUCAGAUCCUAAAAACUAAGACGACCGUGUAACCCAUUAAAACUCGCUUCGAAUUGCAAUAUGCAAUAAUGAUAUUUGAGUUAUUUGUAUUUAAGCACUUGAUAUUCUUGUUCUCUAGUACAGAAAGAUCAUGCCAGUUUUACUUCUUUAAUUGUUAGCCACAGUUCAAGUAAGUGUUAACAACUGUGAACGAGUAGCAUACUCUUCUUCUCUUGUCCUGCUUUCUCAAAGACCACCUUCUCUUGAACAUUUUGUGUUUCCUUUUGCACUCUGUGCAGUUGCUGAGUCCCACGCUAGUCCCCACCGCUACCUUCACUUCUUGGACUGUACACCACAGUCACUCGGUCCCAGUCCCAUGGUUCCACUUGUUUCAGCUCCUGAGUCGAAGUGCUGGGGUUAAGCAAAUGUGGUCACGAGCAGUUGUGGAUGAAUUCAGAUUUGUGGGGGCUAGAGGUGUUGGCUUGAAAUCAUGCACCAUGCUUUGAGGGUCGAGGAUCUCUCAGAAGCUGCUAUUGCUGUGUAUCCGUAUGAGUGAUGAGCAAGCGUUUUAUUCUUUUCUUUCUUUCUGUUUUUGUGGCCAUGUGUGACUCACGUUGAUGUUAGGGUUUUAUGAAUGGUGACAUCCUUCGGUUUGAGCAACUUGGGUUUGUACGUCGGUGUCUGUGGGGGAGCAAUGUAAGAUAGUGUAGAUGGGCUUCAAAGAUUUGUAGCGAGUGGUUGGGGGCGUGAAGCGGGAGGGUGUUCGGAGGUGUUGGUCAGUCGCUGUCGCUGGAAAGUUGCUGCGAGGUCAGAGAUUUUCGAGGGUUUUUAAUUCAUUGUCAUGGUUGGGGAUCAGUGUAUGUAUUUUUGAGGUGGAUUGAUCAAGGUCAUCAACCGAGCACAUUGUGUUCGUUCUGAAGGAUCAGGUGAUCGGGAUUCUAGUGAGUUCUGUUUGUAAGAUAAACCCCUGGACUCACUGUCAUAAAUGCUUUGGGGUUGCGGGAUUUGUGGAAUGAGGUACUCCGCGGGUAACAAGAAGCUGUGGUGCUGCCCCAGGAAUAGAAACUAGGAAGGACAUUGAAAUGAAGGAAAUCCAAUUUAAUAGCAAUAUAUUUUUUUUAUAUAUUCGAAUUUGAAGUUCAUUCUGAAUCAGUGUAGAAUGUAGAAACUUAGAUAUUAGCAGCAAAGGAAAGAAAUAAGGGUUUAGCACUGUGGGGCGGCCUUGAUUUUACAGUGUCCUGGGAAAGCCAGCAAGCACCUGUGCUGACUCUAUAUGCACUACAAUCUGGCUGUACAUUCAACGAUGGAGCGUGGGUUACAGCGUCGUUGGGCUGAGUUAUGAAGCUGUGGUUUCUCAAGGGGAACAUUGGCGGCUCAUCACGUUGACUUUCUCUCACAUCAGCUUCCUUCACUUGCUUUCUGACAUGAGUGCUCUCUGGAGCCUAGGAAUCGUCGAAGUGCCAAAGACUACACCCUGGGAAACGCUUACUACAUACAGUGCUCAAUAACAAUGGUACUUCUGUCAGGGCUGAUCGUAUUCGGCAUGUACCAUAUGCUACCUACCCAGGUGAAGUUGAACUUCUACAGACGAGUAAUCGUGUGUUGUGUUUGGUUGGAUGACCAUCCUUGCUGUGAAGCAGCCAUCUCUGAUUCUGAAUUUGUUUGGGCUUGUAUCGCUCCCAAUCAGCUUCGCACCGUUAGAGUAUCUCAUCUUUACAUCCAUCACUGUACCGUGGGCGAGUUUUCUCGGGCAGGAUUAACGGUGGGUAAUCUUAGUGGUUGGGGUGUAGUUCAAGGUAUGACUAACUACUGGACAGUCACUUAAGCUGUUUGCAUCGCACUGGGGUUUAUUUAGAGCUUGAGGCGGACUACCUCGUUUGAGUUGCCAUACUUGGAGGUUGAGUCUAGGGCAUGUUAAUAUAUGUCAAGCGUCGCUUCUGCCCCAUCCAAUAUAUCUACAAGCUGGUCAAGAGCUUCUCGUAUUUUGCAAGGAAGCGACUUGGUGUGGCUCUCUGUUCAGUCUCAUCAUGAAUCUCCUAUCUCAGAAGUUGAGUACAUUUUAUAUUUUUAAUGGGAUAUAGCAUGCUGUAUCAAUAUGUGGUGAUUCUGGCCUUUCUCUGCUUUGAAUUUGCUUCGUCACGACCUCAUAAGGUCGCAGAGCCUUGGCUUUACUGUUGUGAUUGUGUUUUUGAUGACUGCUUUACAGCAGUCUGGCAAUCAAGUUCUCUGGCAACAUCAAUUAAGAUGAAGUGGCCAAUCAAAAGCAUCAUAAUAUUGAGAAUUUAUCUCAUAAGCUCAUGUACUAAUUGCUGCCAGAACGCAAGGUAGAUGCGAAGUGGUUGAUAAGGGAUGUUGUCAAGCUUGGCCUUGAAGAGUGAAAUGAGAAAGAGACUCAGACAAAUCUCUGUACUCCCCAGCCGGUGAGUUUAGCAUAUAUUAGUAGACGAGACUGUUCAGACCUUGAUUCCAAUCGAUCAGGAUCCUAGACCAUUUAUUUCUACUUGUAUUUUUAGUAUUAAAUAGGCAUCCAUGAUCAUCUCUUCAGAUGGUGAAAGACCCGCAGCUUUGACGAUGUUGUAAUAUUCUGUUCAUUUUAAAUUCGAGACAGCUUUUCUUGUU